UUCGCAAUGCCCGAAAGGGUGACGAAGCGACGCCGCGUGGGUGAGGAAGGCCCUCGGGUUGUAAAGCCCUGUCAGGAGUUAAGAAAUGUAGGUACGCUAAUAUUGUAUCUAUUUGACAAAGGCUCCAAAGGAAGCCAUGGCUAACUCUGUGCCAGCAGCCGCGGUAAUACAGAGGUGGCAAGCGUUGUUCGGAAUUAUUGGGCGUAAAGAGCACGUAGGUGGAUUUGUAAGUCAGAUGUGAAAGCCUUCUGUUCAACGGGAGAAUUGCAUCUGAAACUACAAACCUUGAGUAUAGGAGGGGAGAAUGGAACUUCUGGUGGAGCGGUGAAAUGCGUAGAUAUCAGAAGGAACGCCGGCGGCGAAAGCGAUUCUCUGGCCUAUUACUGACACUCAGUGUGCGAAAGCUAGGGGAGCAAACGGGAUUAGAUACCCCGGUAGUCCUAGCCGUAAACGAUGGGCACUAAGUAGAGGGGUUUU
rnacentral:rRNA from 1 species